AAACCUGCACAAAGAUGAAGCUUUCUAUUAAAAUUUCUCAGAUAUUUGCUUGGUAUUAAUACAUGCCUAUCUUGAGUUGGCCAAGAAGUAUGCGAUAGUUCUCUCCUUAAGACACAGAACAAACUAUAAGAUAGUCGAUUCAUGACAAAAGUUCAAUACAUUUUCGUAUUUUUCAUAUUAUUUUCAAAUAGACUUUUCAUUAUAAAUUUUUCAAAAUUUUAUUUUAGC